rnacentral:rRNA from 1 species
AGUGGCGAACGGGUGAGUGACAUAUCGGAACGUACCUAGUAAUGGGGGAUAGCUAGUCGAAAGAUUAGCUAAUACCGCAUACGCCCUGAGGGGGAAAGCGGGGGAUCGUAAGACCUCGCGUUAUUGGAGCGGCCGAUAUCUGAUUAGCUAGUUGGUGGGGUAAAGGCUCACCAAGGCGACGAUCAGUAGCUGGUCUGAGAGGACGACCAGCCACACUGGAACUGAGACACGGUCCAGACUCCUACGGGAGGCAGCAGUGGGGAAUUUUGGACAAUGGGGGCAACCCUGAUCCAGCCAUUCCGCGUGAGUGAAGAAGGCCUUCGGGUUGUAAAGCUCUUUCGCAAGGGAAGAAAACUUAUAUUUUAAUAAAGUAUGAGGCUGACGGUACCUUGAUAAGAAGCACCGGCUAACUACGUGCCAGCAGCCGCGGUAAUACGUAGGGUGCGAGCGUUAAUCGGAAUUACUGGGCGUAAAGCGUGCGCAGGCGGUUUUGUAAGUCAGAUGUGAAAUCCCCGAGCUCAACUUGGGAACUGCGUUUGAAACUGCAAGACUAGAGUAUGUCAGAGGGGGGUAGAAUUCCACGUGUAGCAGUGAAAUGCGUAGAGAUGUGGAGGAAUACCGAUGGCGAAGGCAGCCCCCUGGGAUAAUACUGACGCUCAUGCACGAAAGCGUGGGGAGCAAACAGGAUUAGAUACCCUGGUAGUCCACGCCCUAAACGAUGUCUACUAGUUGUUGGUGGAGUAAAAUCCAUGAGUAACGCAGCUAACGCGUGAAGUAGACCGCC